rnacentral:rRNA from 1 species
UACAGAGGUCCCGAGCGUUGUUCGGAUUCACUGGGCGUAAAGGGUGCGUAGGUGGCGAGGUAAGUCGGAUGUGAAAUCUCCAAGCUUAACUUGGAAAUGGCAUUGGAAACUACCUGGCUUGAGGUUUGGAGGGGGGACUGGAAUACUUGGUGUAGCAGUGAAAUGCGUAGAUAUCAAGUGGAACACCAGUGGCGAAGGCGAGUCCCUGGACAACACCUGACACUGAGGCACGAAAGCUAGGGGAGCAAACAGG